UGUAAAUUGCAACUACAAAUUCCCCUAC
rnacentral:sRNA from 1 species